UACGUAGGGUGCGAGCGUUAAUCGGAAUUACUGGGCGUAAAGCGGGCGCAGGCGGUUGGUUAAGUCUGAUGUGAAAGCCCCGGGCUCAACCUGGGAAUGGCAUUGGAAAAUGGCUGGCUAGAGUGUGGCAGAGGGGGGUGGAAUUCCGCGUGUAGCAGUGAAAUGCGUAGAGAUGCGGAGGAACACCGAUGGCGAAGGCAGCCCCCUGGGCUGACACUGACGCUCAGGCACGAAAGCGUGGGGAGCAAACAGG
rnacentral:rRNA from 1 species